rnacentral:rRNA from 1 species
UACGUAGGGUGCAAGCGUUGUCCGGAAUUAUUGGGCGUAAAGAGCUCGUAGGCGGUUUGUCGCGUCUGCUGUGAAAUCUGGGGGCUCAACCCCCAGCCUGCAGUGGGGUACGGGCAGACUAGAGUGCGGUAGGGGGAGAUUGGAAUUCCUGGUGUAGCGGUGGAAUGCGCAGAUAUCAGGAGGAACACCGAUGGCGAAGG